rnacentral:rRNA from 1 species
UACGUAGGGUGCGAGCGUUAAUCGGAAUUACUGGGCGUAAAGGGUGCGCAGGCGGCUUCGCAAGUCGAGUGUGAAAUCCCCGAGCUUAACUUGGGAAUUGCGCUCGAAACUACGGAGCUGGAGUGUGGCAGAGGAAGGUGGAAUUCCACGUGUAGCGGUGAAAUGCGUAGAGAUGUGGAGGAACACCGAUGGCGAAGGCAGCCUUCUGGGCCACCACUGACGCUCAUGCACGAAAGCGUGGGGAGCAAACAGG